AUAUUUCAAUUAAAAAAAAAAAAAAAAUCUGUUCUUAUCAGUUUAAUAUCCGAUACGUCCCCUAUCUGGGGACCAUAUAUUAAAUGGAUUUUCCGAACAGGAAGAUGGAAAAAGAGCUUGCUCUGUCCACUCUACGCAAUGUUUCUAUCUGAGAGAGUAGUGGAUGCAUGGAAUAGCCUUCC